UGUAUCCUACGGGAGGCAGCAGUGGGGAAUAUUGCACAAUGGGGGAAACCCUGAUGCAGCGACGCCGCGUGAGUGAAGAAGUAAUUCGGUAUGUAAAGCUCUCUCAGCAGGGAAGAAAAGAAUGACGGUACCUGAAUAAGAAGCCCCGGCUAACUACGUGCCAGCAGCCGCGGUAAUACGUAGGGGGCAAGCGUUAUCCGGAUUUACUGGGUGUAAAGGGAGCGCAGACGGCAAUGCAAGCCUGGAGUGAAAGGCGGGGGCCCAACCCCCGGACUGCUCUGGGAACUGUAUAGCUAGAGUGCAGG
rnacentral:rRNA from 1 species